GGUUAAGCGACUAAGCGUACACGGUGGAUGCCCUGGCAGUCAGAGGCGAUGAAGGACGUGCUAAUCUGCGAUAAGCGUCGGUGAGGUGAUAUGAACCGUUAUAACCGGCGAUUUCCGAAUGGGGAAACCCAGUGUGUUUCGACACACUAUCAUUAACUGAAUCCAUAGGUUAAUGAGGCGAACCGGGGGAACUGAAACAUCUAAGUACCCCGAGGAAAAGAAAUCAACCGAGAUUCCCCCAGUAGCGGCGAGCGAACGGGGAGGAGCCCAGAGCCUGAAUCAGUGUGUG
rnacentral:rRNA from 1 species